rnacentral:tRNA from 1 species
GACCGCGUAGCUCAGUUGGAAGAGCAUUGGGCUAGUAUUCCAAAGAUCGUAGGUUCGAAUCCCAUCGUGGCCG